GAAAUGCGAUAAUUAAUGUGAAUUGCAGAAUUCAGUGAAUCAUCGAUUCUUUGAACGCACAUUGCGCCCCCUGGUAUUCCGGGGGGCAUGCCUGUCCGAGCGUCAUUGCUGCCCUCAAGCACGGCUUGUGUGUUGGGCUUCCGUCCCUGGCAACGGGGACGGGCCCAAAAGGCAGUGGCGGCACCAUGUCUGGUCCUCGAGCGUAUGGGGCUUUGUCACCCGCUCCCGUAGGUCCAGCUGGCAGCUAGCCUCGCAACCAAUCUUUUUAACCAGGUUGACCUCGGAUCAGGUAGGGAUACCCGCUGAACUUAAGC
rnacentral:misc_RNA from 1 species